CGUAGUGAGGUAGGCAUUCUAAGAGACCUUGUACCAAGUCACCGAGUCAACCAUCUCCUCUGCCAAACCAUUUCAGUCGAUCUUCAAGGUCACAAGACACAUUCAUGAUUCAAGAGAUCCCUGUCCAUCCCGAUACUUAAACAUGUUCUGCAAUGACAGGUAAACACUGUAGUGUCCUCCUCAGCCGUCACUGUCGUCAUUGGUGACACACCUGACACGACGACACACACUGGAUGAAGGAACCACAAGCUUCUUCAAGUGAGAUCAUAACAUACUGCGCCAAACAUCUUCAGGAUAAGUAUCUAAAAUAUUCCUGUCUGACUGACGUGCUAAUUUAUGUUCAUUUGUAUUAUAUAACACAAUAGUUUUGAGGACAUUCCUGAUGAUGCCUGAUCCUACCUCUAUGCAGUAUCCCUAUCAAGGUUGACAGAACAUAUUUGAGCCAACAUCCUCAUCAAAACCUUCGUCAAAAUCACAUGACACAUAGAAAGUGAGGGAGCGUGAAAGUGGCCUUCUUACAACAUGGGCAACCAAACCAAGGUGAUUCCUCUGAUGAGCUGAUGAGAGAAGCAGACAAAUAUCUUUCACCUCAGCUGUAAACUGAAUCCUCACAUCACUCCUGGCGUAGGCUAGAAAACAUCUUUCUCCCUUUCUUGCACCUCAAUGUGACCAAGUGUAUUUGCCAAAACUGUUAACGAGGAUGUCAGGUGUGAGGACAGCAGGUAAAUAUUGGUGUACAGGUGAACACAGGUAGACCAACACAUCUCACUGGUUUGUUCUACAGGUGAAAGCUGCUUCAAUCACGAAGUUGAAACAGGUGUGACCACCUUUGCUUUGUCUUAGCCCAGACAUUGGGUAAUGGCUGGUGCACAGCUCACAAAAUCAACUCCUCAACACCCCACACAAAGUUCAGGAAAAAUAUACUGUGGACAGCAAGUUGAACUUUAAUGGAAUUUGAACAAGAUAAUGGCAAAGACAGAUAUGAAAUAUUUCUUGGUCGAAAAUAUGGUUUUAUGUACAAGUGUGUGAACGGGGAUAAACUAUAACCUUGCAUUUAAGAACACUGUAUAACUUUUAAGCAAGCAGGGAACACCAAGGUUGAGCUUCAAACUCCUGCAGGCAUUGAAAGCAAACACACUACCCACUGAGCUGCCCUGUCAUUUUGAAUUCAAUGGUCAAAAGUAAUAAACCUGCUUCACAUUGGUGAAAUAUUCAAUGACAAAACAUCAUGAACAAUAUCCUCAUCAA